rnacentral:rRNA from 1 species
CGAGGCUGAAAAGCGUAGGCGAUGGACAACAGGUUGAUAUUCCNCCGAACACGGAAGUUAAGCUUCUCAGCGCCAAUGGUAGUUGGGGGCUGUCCCCCUGUGAGAGUAGGACGCUGCCGGGC